AAAUGUUUUCAAACUGGACACUGGACUUUCGAGUGCAAGAAUGAAAGAGUUUAUAUGACGCGUCCCUCAAGGACACAGCAGCUUAAGAAUCCUAAAUUGAGGAUGAAACUUUCUAUCUCAUAUGAUCUUGAGAAUCCGGAUUCUAAGGAGGAGAAUGGUAAAUCAUCUAAGAAAAGUAAGAGGAAGCAUAGAUCAGAUUCUGAUUCUGGAAGUGAUAGUGAGGCUUCGGUUUUUGAGAG
rnacentral:misc_RNA from 1 species